GAUGAACGCUGGCGGCGUGCCUAAUACAUGCAAGUCGAGCGAACGGACGAGAAGCUUGCUUUUCUGAUGUUAGCGGCGGACGGGUGAGUAACACGUGGAUAACCUACCUAUAAGACUGGGAUAACUUCGGGAAACCGGAGCUAAUACCGGAUAAUAUUUUGAACCGCAUGGUUCAAAAGUGAAAGACGGUCUUGCUGUCACUUAUAGAUGGAUCCGCGCUGCAUUAGCUAGUUGGUAAGGUAACGGCUUCCCAAGGCAACGAUGCAUAGCCGACCUGAGAGGGUGAUCGGCCACACUGGAACUGAGACACGGUCCAGACUCCUACGGGAGGCAGCAGUAGGGAAUCUUCCGCAAUGGGCGAAAGCCUGACGGAGCAACGCCGCGUGAGUGAUGAAGGUCUUCGGAUCGUAAAACUCUGUUAUUAGGGAAGAACAUAUGUGUAAGUAACUGUGCACAUCUUGACGGUACCAAAUCAGAAAGCCACGGCUAACUACGUGCCAGCAGCCGCGGUAAUACGUAGGUGGCAAGCGUUAUCCGGAAUUAUUGGGCGUNAAGCGCGCGUAGGCGGUUUUUUAAGUCUGAUGUGAAAGCCCACGGCUCAACCGUGGAGGGUCAUUGGAAACUGGAAAACUUGAGUGCAGAAGAGGAAAGUGGAAUUCCAUGUGUAGCGGUGAAAUGCGCAGAGAUGUGGAGGAACACCAGUGGCGAAGGCGACUUUCUGGUCUGUAACUGACGCUGAUGUGCGAAAGCGUGGGGAUCAAACAGGAUUAGAUACCCUGGUAGUCCACGCCGUAAACGAUGAGUGCUAAGUGUUAGGGGGUUUCCGCCCCUUAGUGCUGCAGCUAACGCAUUAAGCACUCCGCCUGGGGAGUACGACCGCAAGGUUGAAACUCAAAGGAAUUGACGGGGGCCCGCACAAGCGGUGGAGCAUGUGGUUUAAUUCGAAGCAACGCGAAGAACCUUACCAAAUCUUGACAUCCUUUGACAACUCUAGAGAUAGAGCCUUCCCCUUCGGGGGACAAAGUGACAGGUGGUGCAUGGUCGUCGUCAGCUCGUGUCGUGAGAUGUCGGGUUAAGUCCCGCAACGAGCGCAACCCUUAAGCUUAGUUGCCAUCAUUAAGUUGGGCACUCUAAGUUGACUGCCGGUGACAAACCGGAGGAAGGUGGGGAUGACGUCAAAUCAUCAUGCCCCUUAUGAUUUGGGCUACACACGUGCUACAAUGGACAAUACAAAGGGCAGCGAAACCGCGAGGUCAAGCAAAUCCCAUAAAGUUGUUCUCAGUUCGGAUUGUAGUCUGCAACUCGACUACAUGAAGCUGGAAUCGCUAGUAAUCGUAGAUCAGCAUGCUACGGUGAAUACGUUCCCGGGUCU
rnacentral:rRNA from 1 species